rnacentral:rRNA from 1 species
CAGCAGCCGCGGUAAUACGAAGGGUGCAAGCGUUAAUCGGAAUUACUGGGCGUAAAGCGUGCGUAGGCGGUUUGUUAAGUCUGUUGUGAAAUCCCCGGGCUCAACCUGGGAAUGGCAAUGGAUACUGGCAAGCUAGAGUGUGUCAGAGGAUGGUGGAAUUCCCGGUGUAGCGGUGAAAUGCGUAGAGAUCGGAAGGAACAUCUGUGGCGAAGGCGACUAUCUGGGCCAACACUGACACUGAGGCACGAAAGCGUGGGGAGCAAACAGGAUUAGAUACCCGGGUAGUCCCUGUCUCUUAUAC